rnacentral:rRNA from 1 species
ACGCACGCUGGCGGCGUGCUUAACACAUGCCAGUCGAACGGAAAGGCCCUGCUUUUGUGGGGUGCUCGAGUGGCGAACGGGUGAGUAACACGUGAGUAACCUGCCCUUGACUUUGGGAUAACUUCAGGAAACUGGGGCUAAUACCGGAUAGGAGCUCCUGCUGCAUGGUGGGGGUUGGAAAGUUUCGGCGGUUGGGGAUGGACUCGCGGCUUAUCAGCUUGUUGGUGGGGUAGUGGCUUACCAAGGCUUUGACGGGUAGCCGGCCUGAGAGGGUGACCGGCCACAUUGGGACUGAGAUACGGCCCAGACUCCUACGGGAGGCAGCAGUGGGGAAUAUUGCACAAUGGGCGGAAGCCUGAGGCAGCAACGCCGCGUGCGGGAUGACGGCCUUCGGGUUGUAAACCGCUUUCGCCUGUGACGAAGCGUGAGUGACGGUAAUGGGUAAAGAAGCACCGGCUAACUACGU